AGCAGCAGCCACGGUAAUACGAAGGGUGCAAGCGUUACUCGGAAUUACUGGGCGUAAAGCGUGCGUAGGUGGUGGUUUAAGUCCGUUGUGAAAGCCCUGGGCUCAACCUGGGAAUUGCAGUGGAUACUGGGUCACUAGAGUGUGGUAGAGGAUAGUGGAAUUUCCGGUGUAGCAGUGAAAUGCGUAGAGAUCGGAAGGAACAUCUGUGGCGAAGGCGACUAUCUGGGCCAACACUGACACUGAGGCACGAAAGCGUGGGGAGCAAACAGGAUUAGAGACCCGCGUAGUCCCUGUCUCUUAUAC
rnacentral:rRNA from 1 species